AUUGAACGCUGGCGGCAGGCUUAACACUUGCAAGUCGAGCGGGGUGAUGGUGCUUGCACUAUCACUUAGCGGCGGACGGGUGAGUAAUGCUUGGGAAUCUGCCUAUUAGUGGGGGACAACAUCUCGAAAGGGAUGCUAAUACCGCAUACGUCCUACGGGAGAAAGCAGGGGAUCACUUGUGACCUUGCGCUAAUAGAUGAGCCUAAGUCGGAUUAGCUAGUUGGUGGGGUAAAGGCCUACCAAGGCGACGAGCUGUAGCGGGUCUGAGAGGAGGAGCCGCCACACUGGGACUGAGACACGGCCCGGACGCCGACGGGAGGCAGCAGUGGGGAAUAUUGGACAAUGGGGGGGACCCUGAUCCAGCCAUGCCGAGUGUGUGAAGAAGGCCUUAUGGUUGUAAAGCACUUUAAGCGAGGAGGAGGCUCUUUUGGUUAAUACCCAAGAUGAGUGGACGUUACUCGCAGAAUAAGCACCGGCUAACUCUGUGCCAGCCGCCGCGGUAA
rnacentral:rRNA from 1 species